UACGUAGGGUGCAAGCGUUGUCCGGAAUUAUUGGGCGUAAAGAGCUCGUAGGCGGUCUGUCGCGUCGGCUGUGAAAUCCCGGAGCUCAACUCCGGGUCUGCAGUCGAUACGGGCAAGCUAGAAUUCGGUAGGGGAGACUGGAAUUCCUGGUGUAGCGGUGAAAUGCGCAGAUAUCAGGAGGAACACCGGUGGCGAAGGCGGGUCUCUGGGCCGAUAUUGACGCUGAGGAGCGAAAGCGUGGGGAGCGAACAGG
rnacentral:rRNA from 1 species